rnacentral:rRNA from 1 species
CCUACGGGAGGCAGCAGUAGGGAAUCUUGUGCAAUGGGCGAAAGCCUGACACAGCAACUCCGCGUGCGGGAAGAAGGCCUUAGGGUUGUAAACCGCUUUUGGCAGGAACGAAAAUGACGGUACCUGCAGAAUAAGGUGCGGCCAACUACGUGCCAGCAGCCGCGGUGACACGUAGGCACCAAGCGUUGUCCGGAUUUAUUGGGCGUAAAGAGCUCGUAGGCGGUUCAGUUAGUCGGGUGUGAAAACUCUGGGCUUAACCCGGAGACGCCACUCGAUACUGCUGGGCUAGAAUUCGGUAGGGGAGUGGGGAAUUCCUGGUGUAGCGGUGAAAUGCGCAGAUAUCAGGAGGAACACCGGUGGCGAAGGCGCCACUCUGGGCCGACAUUGACGCUGAGGAGCGAAAGCGUGGGUAGCAAACAGGAUUAGAUACCCUGGUAGUCCACGCCGUAAACGGUGGGCACUAGGUGUGGGUUCCAACCAACGGAAUCCGUGCCGUCGCAAACGCAUUAAGUGCCCCGCCUGGGGAUACGGCCGCAAGGUUAAACUCAAAUGAAUUGACGG